UAACUUUGUUUAGCUCUUGUAUACGAGUUUUUGUGUAUCUAAUAAACUAAGACCAGUUAAAACCAAGUUUAUGAAUAAUGUACUUACUUUAUAAUAGUCCUAAAAUUAACAUAAAAUCAUAACUAUAAAUUGGAAUUCUGAUUUGUUAAAUUUUAGGAAUGCCUGUCAAUUGUGAAUAUUAAAUUUGAUCAUCUGUUUUACAAGAAUGAGUAAAUUUAGAAUGUAGUUUAGCUUUUAAUGCUUACUCGUGAAUUAACUUUGAUAUGUUUCAGUCUUAGAUCCUCUUCCCCAGAACCCAUUGAAAGAAACGUAUGGCAUUCAUACUAAUAAUAAGUCAAAUUUGCUAAAACGUUUCUAACAUUAGAGUUUAUUAAGAUAACAGCACCAUAUGAAAAACAGACAAAAUAUUUUUCAUUUUAUGUGAUGUUGCUCUCAAUUCAUUAUACUUUGUAGAUGAAAAAUGUUGAGUACCAUGCCAAGCAUUUCAAAUUUUUGAAGCUUUUUUUGCUUUAAUUUCCUGCAACAUUACAUUAAUUUUUUUUCUAGGGAGAAAUGAAUAUCUGCACACUUAAAUACAGCUCUACUUUUUUAAAUUUUCUACCUGGUGUCUAGAAGAAUGUGUUAAGAAUUUCAGAUCUAAGAUUGUACUUAUUUCAUAUUUCAUUUAUAUUCAUCUUUCUUAAUAUUGAAGUAAUAUAAUAUGUUGAGGAUUUUGUUUUCUUUCAGAAAAGUAUGAAAACACUUUUCUGAAAAUAGACCUGAUAUGGUCUGGUGGUUAGGGUUCUCAACUUGUAAUCUGUCAGUCUUGGAUUUGAAUCCCUGCGAAAUUGCUUGUCUUUUCAGCUGUGAGGGUGUUAUAAUGUGAUGGUCAAUCACACUAUUCGUUAGUAAAAGAGUAGCCCAAGAGUUGGUGAUGGGUGGUGUUGACUAGCUGCCUUCCCUCUUGUCUGUCACUGGUAAAAUAAGGAUGGCUAGUGCAGAUAGCUCUUGUGUAGAGUUGCGCGGAAUUCAAACCAAACUUGUCAGAAAAUAGAACAAUACGUUUGCUGUCGGGAUUGUUAUUUUAUUGUAAAAUAUAUCUAUCCACAUUUGUUUUUUUUUAAUCAACAUUGUAAACUGUGUACUGAAUGGGUUACAGUAGCAGAGAUUGGACUUUGCAUACACAUGCAGAAAAAAUUACCUUCUAUUUUAAAAAUAAAAGCUGCAGACUAUACAUUUUGUAAUUUGCUGGGAGGACUAAUUCAUUUCUUUUACUGCUAGAUUGUACAUAUUGUUAGUAUUUUUGAAUAUAAUUUUUGCUUUUACCAUUAAUUAAUGUCUUGUAACUUCCAACUCGCAAAAAGUCAUUUAAACUUUAAAGUUUGGGAGAUAAUGAACUUCAAUUAUCCAAUAAAAUUUCAGUUUUAGGAUUUCACCAUGUAUAUGAUUUAGCUUAUUUUUUUCCAAGCUUUUUUUAUAUUUUAAGAUAUAGGUAUACCGUUGCAAAACAAAGCAAUUUGGUUGGAGGAACUCACUGAAAAACUGGGGAAAAGUACAAGCACUCCUGUAGAAUCAUACAAGCUUCAAGAUCUAGAGAACAAGAUUAGUCAGUUGCAACAGGAUUUGGCCAAGGUAUUGGAAGAAAUUCAAUAAGCUGCUGCUUUUAAAUCCCUGAAAUCAUUAUAGCUGGAAAUGUGAACAAGGUCAAAAGGCCACCCUAGAGGAAAAGCUGAAGAAGCUUCAAGAAGAAAACUUAAGGUUACAAGAAGAAUCUCUAUCUACAUCAGUUCAACUUCGACGUUUUACUGAAUGGUUCUUUAAUAAUAUUGAGUAGAUAAUCCAUAGCGUUGACUUUGAAGGAUUCACACAGUAUUGUUAAAAUUCUGUAAUAUGAUUGUUGUGAGUCCAAACUUCAAAGUCAGACAUGAUUGUUCUACAUAUACAGGCAGAAUGAUAAAUUCUAACAUCUGUUCAGGUGUCACUGUUCAAGUAUCAGAACAAGAUUAACUUUUCAUUAGUUUGCAAUUGAUACUGUACACUCUAAGACUUUCAUUAUUAUUUGCUGUAUUUUCUUCAACUCUUUCUCAAAGAAUGACAAUUAAGAAAAAUUACAUCAUAGCUUCAGCCAAUAAUAGACCAAGUGAAAUUAGUAUGUGAAUAAAGAGUAUAGUUAUUCCACAAUAUGUAGAAGGAAUGUUUAAAGAGAAAAAUUAUAGUUAGCAAAUUGGAAGAUAAUUUGUUGUUAAAUAGACUGUCUAUUAAUAAAUAUUAAACCUAUUAGUAGAUGGAAAAGAGAAUGUAUCAUACAUAUUUUGAAUAGCAUGUUUGUCAAGAUGUAAACUUAGGCUGGUGGUACUAUCUAGAAUUUUAAUUUAACAUUCAGAUAGGUUUAGUAUGAUGUACAAAACUACUCGAGUCUACCAUGUCUUCACCAAGUGUCCUUAUUAAUGCUCUUCUACCAAAGAAGUUAUUCCAGAGUUUUGUUAUAAAGUACUGUAGAAAGAGACAUGUAAUAUUAAAGUGUGGGAUCAUGAUUUAGAUUAACAUGGAUAUUGGUCACUAUAGGGUAUUAUGAAAAUGCUGUAUCGUGUAACAGUGUCUAACCAGGGGCCAGCAAUAUGCCUUCUUACAAAAUAAAACUUUUUUUUUGUAAAGUAUAUUUAAAUUUUUAUAAUCAUAUUUUGAUUUGAUCAUAUUUACUUGUCAUGAAUCAGCACUUAUUUUUUAUCACUAGUCAGGAUACAUUGUAUUGAUUGAUCUUUAUGUAUAUAACUUUAUGUACAUAAAAUUCCAAACUUUAAUA